rnacentral:rRNA from 1 species
AUUGAACGCUGGCGGCAGGCCUAACACAUGCAAGUCGAGCGGGGUUUUCGGACCUAGCGGCGGACGGGUGAGUAAUGCGUAGGAAGCUACCCGACAGAGGGGGAUACCAGUUGGAAACGACUGUUAAUACCGCAUAAUGUCUACGGACCAAAGUGUGGGACCUUCGGCCACAUGCUAUCGGAUGCGCCUACGUGGGAUUAGCUAGUUGGUGGGGUAAUGGCUCACCAAGGCGACGAUCCCUAGCUGGUUUGAGAGGAUGAUCAGCCACACUGGAACUGAGACACGGUCCAGACUCCUACGGGAGGCAGCAGUGGGGGAAUAUUGGACAAUGGCGCAAGCCUGAUCCAGCAUGCCGCGUGUGUGAAGAAGG